rnacentral:rRNA from 1 species
UACGUAGGGAGCAAGCGUUGUCCGGAAUCAUUGGGCGUAAAGCGCGCGUAGGCGGCCCUGUAAGUCCGUUGUGAAAGUCAAAGGCUCAACCUUUGAAAGCCGAUGGAUACUGUGGAGCUAGAGUACGGAAGAGGCGAGUGGAAUUCCUGGUGUAGCGGUGGAAUGCGCAGAUAUCAGGAGGAAUACCGAUGGCGAAGGCAGGUCUCUGGGCUGACACUGACGCUCAUGCACGAAAGCGUGGGGAGCAAACAGG